CACGUAGGGCGCGAGCGUUGUCCGGAAUUAUUGGGCGUAAAGAGCUCGUAGGCGGCCUGUUGCGUCCGCUGUGAAAGCCCGGGGCUUAACCCCGGGUCUGCAGUGGAUACGGGCAGGCUAGAGGUAGGUAGGGGAGAAUGGAAUUCCCGGUGUAGCGGUGAAAUGCGCAGAUAUCGGAAGGAACAUCAGUGGCGAAAGCGGCUUCCUGGUCCAGCACCGACGUUCAGGCACGAAAGCGUGGGGAGCAAACAGG
rnacentral:rRNA from 1 species